AGUCGUAACAAGGUAUCCGUAGGUGAACCUGCGGAUGGAUCAUUACCAAAGGACAUAUUAUGUCACUUUACGUCAUGUGAACGGUUUAGGGGUUUGGGUUAGGGUGUCGGAGAGUGUGUGUGUGUUUGUUGUGUUUGCGCAGACGCGCGCGCUCUCUGGCCCCUUCCUAUGAAUCUACGUAGUAAUUUUUUGAACUGAAGUCUGCCAUUGAGAUUAGUGAAAACUAAAAACAACUUUUAGCAACGGAUCUCUUGGCUCUC
rnacentral:misc_RNA from 1 species